UGGUGUCAGAUGCUGACUGUGUGGAGU
rnacentral:piRNA from 1 species